ensembl:lncRNA
CUUCUAGACCAGGUUGCUCACAGCUCCACCUAGCCUGGCCUUGAAUGCUUCCAGGGAUGGGGCAUCCACAGCUUCUCUGGGCAACCCAUUCCAGUGUCUCAUCACCCUCACAUAAAGAAUUUCUUCCUAAUAUCUAGUCUAAAUCUAUGCUCUUCCCAUUUAAAACCAUUUCCCCUCAUUCUGUCACUACCUGCUCUUACAGAAAGUCCCUCCCCAGCUUUCCUGCAGGCCCCUUUCAGGUGCUGGAAGGCUCCAUGACUGAUGUAAGAACUGGAAAAUGAAAGGGAGAGCUAUUGAACUGUAGAGACGUUUGAGAAAGAACGUGGUUUUAAAAGCAGUUAUUUGUUUAUGUGUAACCUGAGUGACUAGCACACUGAAUGAAACAAAGCAUUGGUGCCCACAGCCUUUGGCUAGGAAAAUGCUUUUUCUCUGGAAUUGCUUGAAGACUGAGACUAAACUGGCUGGUCCUGAGCAGCCACUGUGAAGGAUAGAGCAGAAAAGCAGCUCUCUGUUGUGGUUCCUCCUAAUCCAGUUGUAAUUCUCCCUUCGAGUUCCCUGAGCCAACUUGGGAAAGCUAGCUUUAGGAGAGCUGGGUUUAGUCCCUCUCCUGCCACAGUCACAGGACGGCACGCCUCAACUCUCCACUGCUGUAACAGUUGGGUAGUGCUUCCUCAGGUACAGUCAACAAUAUGGUCAGUAAACAAAUAAUGAGAAAAUACUGUGACUUAAAAUCAAAGCUGCUAAAAAGGAGGAGUGUGUGUGUGUGUGUGUUGCAUGUAAGGUUAAUUGUUCUGGGCAGGAGUGAAUUUGGUCAUUGCUGCUUUCUGAAAGCUGGCAUCUAUGUGGUGGCUGUUCUAGACACGAAACCUGAGGUUGUUUUCAUCUGUCCUGAAAAAUUCCUACCUUUGCUUCCCCAGCUGUACAAACACUGAGGGCUGAAGACACUUGUGCCAGGCAGCAGAAGCGCCUGUCGCUGUAUUGAUUCAGCCUUUGUUUCCUCUAGGUUCAAUACACGGACCUGACGAAUAACAGAGUAAUCUAUUACUUAAGUUGAUUGCAGGCUUAAUAGGGGUUGAACGGAAGUAGGUGUAGUACAAGGCUGCUUUAUUCCCACU